GGCAGAUUCCAGGAGUGGGGCAGGGCAAAUACAAUAUGAGUCUUAAAUAUCUUGUGGUGCCAGAAGGAGUGGAUGUUAUGACAGAGGAAUGUAGGAAGGAAGGACAUCAGGCUCUGAACAUCCAUCCAUGUAAAACAUUGAAUAAGACUAGCUGUUAAACAGGGCUUUUUCCCUAGAAAGGUGUCAUAAUUUUGACUCCAUCAAAUUCUUCUAACAGCAAGUACUCAUUUGGGCCCAUUUUACAGAAGAAGGAAAACUCUUGAGUGGCUCAAUCUUGGCUCUCCACAACCUCUGCCUCCUGGAUUCAAGCGAUUCUAUUCCCCAGCAUACCAAGAAGCUGGGAUUACAGUUUUGAAGAUGAAGAAAAACCGAAGCUAUAAGGACUGAGAUAAAAUGCCAAGGACAUAUAGCUUGAAAAAGGCAUGGCUAGAAUGUGCACUCAGUAUGACCUCAGCACCCAAGCUCUUUACCAAUAUAUGCUGCAAUCUUAGGCUCAUCAACUGCACACAGUGAAUUGUGGUGCUACUUCGUCUAAGCCUGCAUUCUCCUUCAGAGCCUACACCUCCCUUUCAGCUGUUUUCACCUUCACUGUUCCAAAAAAAGCAGACUUUGAAAACUUAAGAAAUGACAUUAAAAAAAAUCAAAAUCGA
rnacentral:lncRNA from 1 species